GGGGGGGGGGGGGGACCUGGUCAACUAGCCAAGAUGAGGUGCUAAUUGAGUUCAUGGUAGAUGAGUUUCAAAAGUAGAGGUCCCUCACUGUUUCAAAGUGUCUUUUCAAAGGCUUCCUGGUUCUAUGUGUCAGCAGAGCGUGCACGUUGUCAAAGCAGUGGCCGGUGGUACUGAGUUGAAAGGUUGUACAGCAGCUUUCGAGGUUCGGGGUGGGGACGGAGCCAGGGAGGUUUUACAAAGUCUAAGCGAUGGAAAAAUGCUGAGGGAGAGAUUUUCCUAAAUCCCUUGGUUGAACUAAAUCCAAAUUCAGCAAGAUAAUAAUUUAUUUCACUUGUGUAAGCUGUUAUACCACCGGGCCAGCAGUAUCCGAGGUCUCUAAUUACUGCAUAAGGAUAAGGUGAGGUACAAGACAAGCCAUUGGAUUUUAAUGAUACACUGCAACGCUUUUAUAAUGUUGCCAAAGACUGCAAAAGCAACACAAAGUUCCCUUGAGUUAGUGUUAUUUUAGUGAACGAUACAGCAGCAAUCCUUUCAAGACAGGAUCUGUAAAAUCCAUUCACACCAUCGUGCUGGUCAUUUCAAAUGUGACGCACGUGCAGCUCUCUUUUCCUCUGCAAACAGAGGUACACCAGAGGUAUACAACUAAAAAAAUACAACCCCUUGUAUUCCCAUUCUCACUAAUUGAGGACAUUUGUUAACCUGAAGGCGUGUGUUUAAAAUCCGCCGUGUUUGCUGUGGGCCUUUUAGAAGACACCGUAUUAAAAGCUUUAAAGAGCCCAUCUCUCUUCUCCCCUCUGUUUAUAUCUCUCUGAUGUGUGUUUGCAGGCGGAUAAAGAAUGACCUCUGGAGCAGGUCUAUAAGCAGGGCUUACAGAUCUGAUUGCUGCCUGCCUGGGUGGCUCUAUCUAUGUUUGACUGGCUCACACGGGUGUUUGAACGGCUUUCACAACAACCCGGGUUUGAUGAGUUUCAGAAGAGAACUUCUGGCCCGGGUUAAGAGCUCUGUGGCACGCAGGUCUGUUGUUUGGGCACUCGUAGUACAAAAACUGAAAAGAGCUGCUGGGCUCGACUACAAAUAGUCACACAAGGUACAGUAUCAAAAGCUUCACUCCGUAACAGAGGAAUAAAAAUAUCAAUAUAUACUUUAAUAUCUGCUCCAGCAGUGUUCAAUACAUCACUGGGCUCUCUCUCUCUCUCUCUCUGUCUCUCUCUCCGCAGGGCAUAUUGAAAUGGCAUAAACAGAUGCAGGUUGGCAUUUAUUAUCAAUCUUUCCCUGAGGCAGAUCUGCAGAAUGGUCACUAGCUGGCACAGCCACAAAGUCAUAAAAUAUGAAUUUUAAACCACACCGCUAACCAUAAUGCCUAACCCUAACCUUAAGACCAAAAAGCACAUUUUUGUUUUCAUGAAUUUUUACGAUAUAGAAUAUUUUUACUUUGCUGCUGGCCCAUCUAGUGGAAAUCGCUCAGUUCUGCCUCGAGGACAAUAAACGUCAACGUGCUAAACAGACGGCCAAUCUGGCAACCUGCUGAGCCAAUCUGACUAUGAGGUUAGAACAGUACGCAGCAGUGCUCUUGGGGAGAAUCCAUUGUCUAACCACAGAUGGAGCACUACCAUCAGUAAAUAUUACUAAUAAUAAUCAUGUAUGAAAAGCUGUGGGCUCUUGGACACACAGGCGGUGUUGUUCUUUCUGAUGAAACAGACACAACCUAAAAUAAAGUCAAUAUUUAGGUUGGCUGUGUUUUCUCUGUCACCCGCCUCACCAUUCCUCCCUGCUGCUAUAGAGGCUAAUUAUGGGAUAAGUCAUAGAGAGAGAGUGAGACAAGGUGGUGUAGAGUACAGCGCAUCACUCUAGGGGACCAAUGCUUUCCCUUGUGUUGCCACGGCUCACACACGCACACAGACACGCACACACACACACACACACACACGCCCCUUGAGCAAGGCUGACAGAGGUUGGUGGACACAGAGACACAGACAGAGCUCCCUGGUCUGUAGACAGCAGACCUCCUCAGCAGAGGGAGUACUGGUGAGAAAAGGGAGUUCUGGUGACCCUCUCAUAUGACUCAGACUUAAUGAGUGAAAGUACAUUUAUACCCAGACUAACUACUAUACAUACUAACUACUACACAUACUAACUACUACCCAGACUAACUACUACACAUACUAACUACUACCCAGACUAACUACUACACAUACUAACUACUACCCAGACUAACUACUACCCAGACUAACUACUACAUAUACUAAUCACUCACAGUGACCCUCCUCCACAUAGAUUAAAAGGCAAGGAUGGAAACAAGUCAAAUACUCAAUAAAAUAAACUGGCUGAAUGAAUUUUGACUAGAAAAUGAAAAAUUUACAUAUAUUAUGUGAUAAACCAAUGACAAAAUACAAUUUUCCCAAAAAUUUGAAUCUAACUAAUGCAUUACAGCAAUAUAUGGCCCCAUCAGUAUUUUUCACCAUCAGUGUAGCUAAACCAAAUCCACAAUGUGUAUGAUGUAUGCAUGGAGUAUCACAUCUUGGGAGAAUUACUUACCUCAUGAUACCUAUUAUUAUAUAGGAUGAUAGGAUCACACAGAAACUGAUACGCAGCACAGGCUGCUGAUAGACACAGAUAGAGACACAGCUUCCUGUUUAGUAGACUCUCAGAGGGAGUAUACUGAUGUCCCCCUCUGAUGAAUCACAGUGUUUAGAGAGAGAGAGAGCCAGAGGAAUACAAACCCAGGCUUUUGCAGUCUCAUCCUAUCCCCGCCAGUCACCCAGACAGUGACAAACAGUCUCAACAUCAUCCUACCACCCCUCCGCAUACUUGAAUGAAAACAGCAGUUCAAUAAAGAUUGACACAGCUGUUACACAACAGUUCCAUAAGCUGCUAUAACUAAUGAGCUAACUGGAGACACGACCGUCCCAUUAAAACCUAAUUGUGACUAAUGUGGAAAAGAGAAGGGGACGAACAUUAGACAACCGUAUUCAAAUGAUAAAGUGCAUUCGCCAACUAACAUACGAAGACCUCACCCUCAUAUCAAGUUAAACAAGAGAUGAAUAAAGCACGAUAUCCAAGUCAAGUAAAAGUCAGAUUUUUCUAUAUGGGUCCAGUUUAUCUCAAUGUACACCCAAAAACCCUCAGCUGUAGGGAGUUAAGUAACAUAGAGAACCAGUUCCACCUCCCACCCGUUUCCCUGCACUCCUUCCCUCGUCCCCCUGUCCCUCCUUGUACACAACCUUCCCUGUAUUCCUUGAUUAACAGAGCUCUGCCGUCGACAGCGGCUUCUCAUAUUUCGGUAAUAAACUUCAUCAAGGGGUAAUCAGGCGAACUCGCUCGGUGCAGCAGGGAGUAAAAUAAUACCGCCACCGCCAC
rnacentral:lncRNA from 13 species